CCAAUAGCGUAUAUUAAAGUUGUUGCAGUUAAAAAGCUCGUAGUUGAAUUUCGGGAUCAAUAUGUCGGUCGUGCUUUUUGGUACGUACUGGCGUCAUUGGUUUCUCCUUUCUGACGAACCAUGAUGUCAUUAAUUUGGUGUUAUGGGGAGUUAGGACUGUUACUUUGAAACAAUUAGAGUGUUUAAAGCAAGCAUUAGCUUGAAUACAUUAGCAUGGAAUAAUGAAAUAGGACGUUCGAUCCUAUUUUGUUGGUUUCUAGGAUCAACGUAAUGAUUAAUAGGGAUAGUUGGGGGCAUUAGUAUUCAAUUGUCAGAGGUGAAAUUCUUGGAUUUAUUGAAGACUAACUACUGCGAAAGCAUUUGCCAAGGAUGUUUUCAUUAAUCAAGAACGAAAGUUAGGGGAUCGAAGACGAUCAGAUACCGUCGUAGUCUUAACCAUAAACUAUGCCGACUAGGGAUCGGAUGAUGUUAAUUCUUUAAUGACUCAUUCGGCGCCUUACG
rnacentral:rRNA from 1 species